rnacentral:misc_RNA from 1 species
GAUGAAGAACGUAGCGAAAUGCGAUAAGUAGUGUGAAUUGCAGAAUUCAGUGAAUCAUCGAAUCUUUGAACGCACAUUGCGCCCGCCAGAAUUCUGGCGGGCAUGCCUGUUCGAGCGUCAUUUCAACCCUCGAGCUCCCCUUGGGGAGCCCGGCGUUGGGGACCGGCAGUAACACCGCCGGCCCCGAAAUGGAGUGGCGGCCCCGCCCGCGGCGACCUCUGCGUAGUAAAUCCACUCGCACCGGGACCCGGGCGCGGCCACGCCGUAAAACACCCAACUUCCGAAUGUUGACCUCGAAUCAGGUAGGAAUACCCGCUGAACUUAAGCAUAUCAAUAAGCGGAGGA